rnacentral:rRNA from 1 species
AGUGAACGCUGGCGGUAGGCCUAACACAUGCAAGUCGAACGGCAGCACAGUAAGAGCUUGCUCUUACGGGUGGCGAGUGGCGGACGGGUGAGGAAUACAUCGGAAUCUACUUUUUCGUGGGGGAUAACGUAGGGAAACUUACGCUAAUACCGCAUACGACCUACGGGUGAAAGCAGGGGAUCUUCGGACCUUGCGCGAUUGAAUGAGCCGAUGUCGGAUUAGCUAGUUGGCGGGGUAAAGGCCUACCAAGGCGACGAUCCGUAGCUGGUCUGAGAGGAUGACCAGCCACACUGGAACUGAGACACGGUCCAGACUCCUACGGGAGGCAGCAGUGGGGAAUAUUGGACAAUGGGCGCAAGCCUGAUCCAGCCAUACCGCGUGGGUGAAGAAGGCCUUCGGGUUGUAAAGCCCUUUUGUUGGGAAAGAAAAGCAGCAGGUUAAUACCCCGCUGUUCUGACGGUACCCAAAGAAUAAGCACCGGCUAACUUCGU